rnacentral:tRNA from 1 species
AAAAUUUUAGUUUAAUUAAAAUAUUUCAUUUACAUUGAAAAGUUUGUUGAAAUAAUAAAAUUUUA